rnacentral:rRNA from 1 species
AACGAACGCUGGCGGCAGGCCUAACACAUGCAAGUCGAACGCUCCGCAAGGGGAGUGGCAGACGGGUGAGUAACACGUGGGAAUCUUCCUAUCGGUACGGAAUAGCUCAGGAAAACUUGGGGUAAUACCGCAUACGCCCUUCGGGGGAAAGAUUUAUCGCCGAUAGAUGAGCCCGCGUCUGAUUAGCUAGUUGGUGAGGUAAUGGCUCACCAAGGCGACGAUCAGUAGCUGGUUUGAGAGAAUGACCAGCCACACUGGACUGAGACACGGCCCAGACUCCUACGGGAGGCAGCAGUGGGGAAUCUUGGACAAUGGGCGCAAGCCUGAUCCAGCCAUGCCGCGUGAGUGACGAAGGUCUUCGGAUUGUAAAGCUCUUUUGCCAGGGACGAUAAUGACGGUACCUGGAGAAUAAGCCCCGGCUAACUUCGUGCCAGCAGCCGCCGUAA